rnacentral:lncRNA from 1 species
CAUUUGAGAGGAUAAUCCUGAGAAUUUCCUUUGGAAAUUGAGUUUGAAUAUCACUGUUUUGAGAUUCAAAACUCCAGGGAUCCAAGACCUUUUGUGCAUUCCAAUCUACUUCUGCAAGCAUCCUGAGCAAGAUCAAGCCUGAGCCAAAGCAAGAACAAGUGAAUCCAGACCUGCAUUGCAGGUAUUUUCCAGAAAAUUUC